ensembl:snoRNA
UCUCACUGAGGACUGCCUAAUGGAGUCAUUAUUCUGGGUCACUGAUCCCAUAAUGAAGGAAUCAUAGAUCUUAGAAA